rnacentral:rRNA from 1 species
UGGGGAAUAUUGGACAAUGGGCGAAAGCCUGAUCCAGCCAUGCCGCGUGUGUGAAGAAGGUCUUCGGAUUGUAAAGCACUUUAAGUUGGGAGGAAGGGCAGUAAGCGAAUACCUUGCUGUUUUGACGUUACCGACAGAAUAAGCACCGGCUAACUCUGUGCCAGCAGCCGCGGUAAUACAGGGUGCAAGCGUUAAUCGGAAUUACUGGGCGUAAAGCGCGCGUAGGUGGUUCGUUAAGUUGGAUGUGAAAGCCCCGGGCUCAACCUGGGAACUGCAUCCAAAACUGGCGAGCUAGAGUAGGGCAGAGGGUGGUGGAAUUUCCUGUGUAGCGGUGAAAUGCGUAGAUAUAGGAAGGAACACCAGUGGCGAAGGCGACCACCUGGGCUCAUACUGACACUGAGGUGCGAAAGCGUGGGGAGCAAACAGG